rnacentral:rRNA from 1 species
UGCAGUCGACGGCAGCACAGUAAGAGCUUGCUCUUAUGGGUGGCGAGUGGCGGACGGGUGAGGAAUACAUCGGAAUCUACCUUUUCGUGGGGGAUAACGUAGGGAAACUUACGCUAAUACCGCAUACGACCUUCGGGUGAAAGCAGGGGACCUUCGGGCCUUGCGCGGAUAGAUGAGCCGAUGUCGGAUUAGCUAGUUGGCGGGGUAAAGGCCCACCAAGGCGACGAUCCGUAGCUGGUCUGAGAGGAUGAUCAGCCACACUGGAACUGAGACACGGUCCAGACUCCUACGGGAGGCAGCAGUGGGGAAUAUUGGACAAUGGGCGCAAGCCUGAUCCAGCCAUACCGCGUGGGUGAAGAAGGCCUUCGGGUUGUAAAGCCCUUUUGUUGGGAAAGAAAAGCAGUCGAUUAAUACUCGGUUGUUCUGACGGUACCCAAAGAAUAAGCACCGGCUAACUUCGUGCCAGCAGCCGCGGUAAUACGAAGGGUGCAAGCGUUACUCGGAAUUACUGGGCGUAAAGCGUGCGUAGGUGGUUGUUUAAGUCUGUUGUGAAAGCCCUGGGCUCAACCUGGGAAUUGCAGUGGAUACUGGGCGACUAGAGUGUGGUAGAGGGUAGUGGAAUUCCCGGUGUAGCAGUGAAAUGCGUAGAGAUCGGGAGGAACAUCCAUGGCGAAGGCAGCUACCUGGACCAACACUGACACUGAGGCACGAAAGCGUGGGGAGCA